rnacentral:rRNA from 1 species
UACGGAGGGUGCAAGCGUUAUCCGGAUUCACUGGGUUUAAAGGGCGCGUAGGCGGCGGCUCAAGUCGGGGGUGAAAUCCUCUCGCUUAACGAGAGAAUUGCUUUCGAUACUGGGUCGCUGGAGGGAGAUAGGGGUGCGCGGAACUUCCGGUGGAGCGGUGAAAUGCGUAGAUAUCGGAAGGAACGCCGGUGGCGAAAGCGGCGCACUGGACGGUGACUGACGCUGAGACGCGAAAGCGUGGGGAGCAAACAGG